AUGUCACAGCAUCACACAUCCAUGGCCACCCACAUCAUCCCUUUGCACGCCCCAAGCGAGCCAGAGGCCCGGAACAGAUCAGGCAGGGCCCUGGAUUUGCCUGCAAAAGGCACUUGGUGGCUGUUGUUGCUCGAACCAGCACGCUCAGAACUCAGGCUGAGGAGCCGAGUGGCGGGGCAGGGUGUCCCCCUCAGCCCGGCCUAUUGUGGGUUUAUGACGCUCUGGCCUCAGAAAAAGCA